rnacentral:lncRNA from 1 species
GGCAGUGACAGACUUUGUUUUCCUUCAAAUUUCUACUUCCUGAAACCAAGGCUCUUUAUGAUAAACAGUGUAUUUCAGGGAAAUUGUGCUAAAAUUAACCUUUUUCAGAGAUUUGCUGGCCUUAAAAGUGUUUAUCUUCGAGACAAAGGUGAGUAUAAGCUUUUAAAUGACAAAACAGUAGAUGUGGGUACAAAAGAUGGCAUUAUAUAUAAGGAGGUAUUAUUUUAGACUCUGACCUUGUUUCUACUUCCUAGUAUUGUCUGCAUUUAAAUAACUUGAGAGCUUUAAGAAUAUUUGCAAUUCUAAAAGCGCUAUACAAAGGGAAUAAGGGUUGGGAAGGGGAGGGAACAGUAAAUUUAGAUUACAAGGGAAAGGAGAAAAGGAACCUGUUUUUUUGUUUUGUUUUGUUUUGUUUUUUUGUUUGUUUGUUUGUUUUUAGCAGGUUUUAAUAACAAAGUCCAUAUGUCAGGAACCUGGCUACUGAACAUCUGGCUUUGUCACUGAAUGGAGAUGUUUGAUUAAAGCAUUAACGAAGUGGGAUUACUUAUGUGAAAAAUUGACCCUAGGACUUUUGCCUGGAGUACAUUAGUCAUAACAGAAACCAUCACUUGCAGGAUGGCCUCAGUGAUUUUGCCAGGAAAAUAGAUAAGAGUGGAGAAUUACUCUUUUCAUAUGGGAACAACUGACAGGAAUUCCGGGUGUGGUGAAGCAUUAUGUAGACAGAAAGCAUCUAGAAAAAUUAAAUUCUGGGGCACUUGAGUGAAUCAGUCAGUCAAGCGGUCAACUCUUGAUCUUGGCUCAGGUCAUGAUCUUAUGAUCCAUGGGUUUAAGCCCCGCUUCAGAUCCUCUGUCUCUCUCUCUGACCCUACCCCAUUCUCUCUCUCUCUCUCAAAAAUAAAUAAAUAUUAAAAAAUAAUUUUUAAAAAAUUAAAUUCCUUCAUAUUUUAUUCAAAAGAGUCCUUUCAUUAACAAAUUUUAUCAUUUGAAAUUAGGGCUAUAAACUACUUUGGAAAGCCACAAAUUACGACCUUUAGAAUAGUUUGGGACUGGGGCAUCUGUGUGGCUCAGGUGGUUAAGCAUCUGACUUGGGCUCAGGUUAUGAUCUCACAGGUUUGUGGGUUCAGGCUGCAAACUGGGCUCUGUGCUGAUGGUGUGGAGCCUGUUUGGGAUUCUAUCUUCCUCUGUCUCUUCCCUUCCCCCACUUUCACACUCAUGUGCAGGUGUGCUCUCUCUCUCUCUCAAAUAAAUAAAUAAACAUUAAAAAAAAAAAAAGAACAGUUUGGGACUUCCAGGUGGGUGAGAGUACAGAGGCAGGGUCAGAAAGGAGGGUAUUUGUGUCACAACAUACUGACAUUUCUAAUAUUUGCUAUCUCCCUCUGCCUUUUCUUUUUAGUAAGUGUAGCUAGUACUCUUAUGAGAAACAAUAUCUGCUUUUGGUUGGCUGAUACCUCCUUGUUAAGAACAUUUUAAAUUCCUUACACAUAAUCACUGUUGCUGUUCAAGCCUAUACAUGAUGCUUCAGCAUAGUCUCCACAUUCUUUUGUUUUUCCUCUUUCCUCCGUGACCUCAAAUACAAUUGAACGACAUGGUGCAUUAGUGUGAUCGCACCAUAGAGCCAUGCGGCCCUGUCUAGAUGGUGCGUCGGCAGAUUACAAGUCAGCAGAUUACAAAUCUGUACAUUGAGCACAGUUUUGGAUAGGGGUGUGUAUAGAUUAACUUACCACCUAAGAGACAUACCAGACCUGAACAAAUGCUAAGUCAAGCCUUUAUACCAAUUGACUAAAAUAAUUUACUUCUCUUUUUUCCACCUCCUCCUUCUGAACUCUGUCAACCUACAACCUCAAAAGAAAUAAAAUACUUAAAAUUAUGCUGGCAAUAAUUUACUCUCCACUUUAAAUAUCUUUUGAAUCUGAGCUGAAUCAAUUCUCCAAGUUCUUUUCCAACAAGACACCAGAAUUUUAUAGUAUCCUCCAUGGGCAUGAGUGAUGUUAGGGUGACCGGUGAUGCAGGUGGCAAAGACUUGCACAAAGAGUAGAACAUCAAGCAGGACAGAAUGUACUGUUGGCAUGUUAGAGCAGGAGGUGACAGGUUUCUCUGUCCAGGGCUCACCUGGGAUGUGAGUUGUGGUCAGGCUAGAGAAGAAUAUGUUUUGUAGUUGGGGUCUAUUUGCUGAGAAUGCAAGGUACCAUGAUCUGGAAAAACAAAGAGUGCCAGGUAUAAAUACUAGUGAGUUUUGUCUGUAAACUUGGCAAGGGAAGGGGCUGUGAACAGAUUCCUGUCAAAUAAGGAGCCAAUAAUUACUUUAAACUUUAAAAUAUAUACACAUAUAUACAUAUAUAUUAUAUAAUAUAUUACAUAUUAUAUAAUAUUAUAUAUUAUAUAAUAUUAAUUGAUUAAUUAUAAUAUAUUAAUUAAUAUUAUAUUAAUUAUAAUAUAUUAAUUAAUAUUAAUUAAUUAAUAUUAAUAUUAUAUUAAUAUUAUAUAUUAAAGCCAUAUGUAAAUCAUGAUGAAUGUUAUAAAAUCUCACAUAAAAUAAUACUUGUAAUGAGCACACUUGACAUACUAAGCUGUAACAGUCUCCCCUUAGGUCCUAUGUGAUCUAAGUUUGAGUUUAGAACCCAGAAUUUUCCUUAAGAAUAAAUGUAUUCAUUUCAAAAUAUUUCUGAAACUCCAUGGUUCCUCCCAUUGCAAAAGAAUUUCAGUAACCCCUUUCCCUGAACACAAUACACAUACUACUGUUACUGUCCCUUAAUCUAUUUCAGAUGAUGAUGGCUUUUUAGCAUAAAAUGCUCUUUGGAAAUGCUUUCCUGAAUUUUUUUUAAUGUUUAUUUAUUUUUGAGAGAGAGAGAGUGAGAGAGCAUGUGUGUGCACACAUGGGGGAGGUACAGAGAGGGGGACAGACGAUCUAAAGUAGGCUCUGAACUGACAGCACAGAGCCUGAUGCAAGACUCGAACUCAUGAACCGCGAGAUCAUGACCUGAGCCGAAGUAGGCCACUUAACAGACUGAACCACCCAGCCUCCCCUGUUUUCCUGAAAUGUUAAGCAUCUAUGGUUUGAAGAACUUUAAUAGGAAUGUGCAUUCAAACCUUUGGUGUAAAUUCAUUCUAUAUUUUUGUUAUUUUUAUUUGUUGCCUCUCUAUAUGGAGAAGUCUUUGUUUCUUGUUAUUGACAGUGACAUCUUUUUGCAGGAUGUUGUGAUUUGCUCUGUUUAUAGAGUUCUGUGAGAUAGACAAAUUUAAAAAUAAGAAUAUUGUCUGGGGCUAUUAUUCUUCUAUGUCUAAAGAAAGGAAAGAGAUGAUCAUAGCUUUAACAUCAGUUAUAUGUUAAUACAAUUUUCUCAAAGUAUGGUGUACAAACUACUGAUUUUAGGUAGCAUGUGUCUUUGAAAAUUUGAGUUAGAUGCUUAUUUUAAUGUGAAUUAAAAAUAUAACUAGCUCAUAAAAUUUAUGACUUCAUAGAUAUUAUUGCUCAGGAAGAUGUUAAGUAAAAUGGAAGUAAACUGUUCACUACUGAUUUUAAGGAAAUGAGUAAACAAGGUAACAAUUGUGAAGGUGGCAUGUAAAUGGCUAAAGUUUUAGAAAUAUUGAACUAAUGUGUUUGCUAAGUGAAUAUUUUCUGAACCGCUGCAGAAAUGUGAGCCUCACUGGUCCUUGGUUACACUGCUCAAUUAGUAAUACAAUCUGUUAAAAUUUCUUAAUUAUAGAUGUACAAAAUAUUGGAUAAAAAAUGCCUUAUCAAACGUUUAUCAGACCUACAGUCCUCAUGAAUUGUCAUAACAUUGAAGGGAUGCAGAAAUUAGCCCAUAUUUUUUGAAAUCAGAAUCAUAGAGAGGAUGAAUCAUCCCAGAGUCAGCAUUAUACUUCUGUUGUGCCUGUUUCACCAAGACACUGAUAUCUUAGAAGGGCAGGGAGGGGUGCUGUGCACUAAAGGGUGAGAGAGGGGGAGGGGACAUAAACAUCAUCUAGGUCAAGGACCAUCAGUGUAUCAUGUAGUGUGUCAAUGGCCAUUAAAAAUGGUCAUGUUGUUCGUUUCUUUCAGGGAAUCCAUUCUAGGGAGGAUGUAAUUCUAAAUAUGGAGAAAAUCCACACAAGAUGUUUAUCAUAAAGGUAUUUAUGAUACAAGGAAUUACAAGCAUUCUAAAAAAAGGGAAAGAUUAACAAAUUAUGGUAUAACAGUCCCUCCCUUAUCCAUGGUUUUGCUUUCCACAGUUUUAGUUACUUACAGUCAACCACUGCCAGAAGCAGAUGAUCUUCUUUAUGACGCUUCCUCACACGCCUGAGUCAUUCACCUCACUUCAUCUCAUCACAUAGACGUUUUACUGUCUCACAUCAUCACAAGAAGAACAGUGAGUAGUAUAUAGGCAUAUCUCAUUUUAUUAUGCUUUGGUUUAUUGCGCUUUUCAGAUACUGAGUUUUUUACAAACUGAAGGUUUGUAGCAACCCUGGUUCAAACAAGUCUGUCAGCGCUGUUUUUCCAACAGCAUUUGUUCACAAUUUUGUCUGUCAUGUUUUGGUAAUUCUCUUGAAAGUUUCAAACCUUGUCAUUAUUGUGAUAUUGUCAUGGUGAUCUGUGAUUAGUGAUUACAACUUACCGAAAGCUCAGAUGAUGGUUAGCAUUUUCUAGCAAUAAGGUAUUUUUUUCAUUUUGGUGUGUCAUGUUUUGGUAAUUCUCUUGAAAGUUUCAAACCUUGUCAUUAUUGUGAUGUUGUCAUGGUGAUCUGUGAUUAGUGAUUACAACUUACCGAAAGCUCAG